rnacentral:rRNA from 1 species
GGGUGUGUAAGCGCAGCGAUGCGUUGAGCUAACCGGUACUAAUGAACCGUGAGGCUUAACCUU